CUGCUCAGGAUGAACGCUGGCGGCGUGCCUAAUACAUGCAAGUCGAGCGAACGGACGAGAAGCUUGCUUCUCUGAUGUUAGCGGCGGACGGGUGAGUAACACGUGGAUAACCUACCUAUAAGACUGGGAUAACUUCGGGAAACCGGAGCUAAUACCGGAUAAUAUUUUGAACCGCAUGGUUCAAAAGUGAAAGACGGUCUUGCUGUCACUUAUAGAUGGAUCCGCGCUGCAUUAGCUAGUUGGUAAGGUAACGGCUUACCAAGGCAACGAUGCAUAGCCGACCUGAGAGGGUGAUCGGCCACACUGGAACUGAGACACGGUCCAGACUCCUACGGGAGGCAGCAGUAGGGAAUCUUCCGCAAUGGGCGAAAGCCUGACGGAGCAACGCCGCGUGAGUGAUGAAGGUCUUCGGAUCGUAAAACUCUGUUAUUAGGGAAGAACAUAUGUGUAAGUAACUGUGCACAUCUUGACGGUACCUAAUCAGAAAGCCACGGCUAACUACGUGCCAGCAGCCGCGGUAAUACGUAGGUGGCAAGCGUUAUCCGGAAUUAUUGGGCGUAAAGCGCGCGUAGGCGGUUUUUUAAGUCUGAUGUGAAAGCCCACGGCUCAACCGUGGAGGGUCAUUGGAAACUGGAAAACUUGAGUGCAGAAGAGGAAAGUGGAAUUCCAUGUGUAGCGGUGAAAUGCGCAGAGAUAUGGAGGAACACCAGUGGCGAAGGCGACUUUCUGGUCUGUAACUGACGCUGAUG
rnacentral:rRNA from 1 species